rnacentral:rRNA from 1 species
AUUGAACGCUGGCGGCAGGCCUAACACAUGCAAGUCGAACGAGUGGAGGAGGGGCGAGUAAUGCUUGGGAAUCUGGCUUAUGGAGGGGGAUAACUACGGGAAACUGUAGCAAAUACCGCGUACCAUAGGAUGAGCCCACGUUGGAUUAGGUAGUUGGUGAGGUAAAGGCUCACCAAGCCGACGAGCUCUAGCUGGUCUGAGAGGAUGACCAGCCACACUGGGACUGAGACACGGCCCAGACUCCUACGGGAGGCAGCAGUGGGGAAUAGUGCGCAAUGGGAGCAACCUGACGGAGCAAUGCCGCGUGAAUGAAGAAGGCCUUCGGGUUGUAAAGUUCUUUCGGUAGCGAGGCGUUAACUACAGAAGAAGCAACGGCUAACUCCGUGCCAGCAGCCGCGGUAAUAC